UACAGAGGGUGCGAGCGUUGUCCGGAAUUACUGGGCGUAAAGCGCGUGUAGGCGGCCGAUUAAGUCUGGUGUGAAAGCCCGGGGCUCACCCCCGGAAGUGCGCUGGAAACUGGUCGGCUAGAGUAUGGGAGAGGAAAGUGGAAUUCCCGGUGUAGCGGUGAAAUGCGUAGAUAUCGGGAAGAACACCCGUGGCGAAGGCGGCUCUCUGGGACGGUACUGACGCUGAGACGCGAAAGCCAGGGGAGCAAACGGG
rnacentral:rRNA from 1 species